rnacentral:rRNA from 1 species
UACGUAGGGACCAAGCGUUGUUCGGAUUUACUGGGCGUAAAGGGCGCGUAGGCGGCGUGGUAAGUCACUUGUGAAAUCUCUGAGCUUAACUCAGAACGGUCAAGUGAUACUGCUGUGCUAGAGUGCGGAAGGGGCAAUCGGAAUUCUUGGUGUAGCAGUGAAAUGCGUAGAUAUCAAGAGGAACACCAGUGGCGAAGGCGAGUCCCUGGACAACUUCUGACGCUGAUGCACGAAAGCUGGGGGAGCAAACAGG